AUUGAACGCUGGCGGCAGGCCUAACACAUGCAAGUCGAACGAGUGGCGGACGGGUGAGUAAUGUCUGGGAAACUGCCCGAUGGAGGGGGAUAACUACUGGAAACGGUAGCUAAUACCGCAUACCAUCGGAUGUGCCCAGAUGGGAUUAGCUAGUAGGUGGGGUAACGGCUCACCUAGGCGACGAUCCCUAGCUGGUCUGAGAGGAUGACCAGCCACACUGGAAUUGAGACACGAUCCAGACUCCUACGGGGGGCAGUAGUGAGGAAAGUUGCAGAAUAGGCGUAUGCCUAGUGCAGCCGUGCCGCGUGUAGGAAGAAGGCCUUCGGGUUGUAAGGUACUUAGAGCGAGGAGGCGUUACUCGCAGAAGAAGCACCGGCUAACUCCGUGCCAGCAGCCGCGGUAAUAC
rnacentral:rRNA from 1 species